rnacentral:rRNA from 1 species
AGUGAACGCUGGCGGUAGGCCUAACACAUGCAAGUCGAACGGCAGCACAGUAAGAGCUUGCUCUUACGGGUGGCGAGUGGCGGACGGGUGAGGAAUACAUCGGAAUCUACUUUUUCGUGGGGGAUAACGUAGGGAAACUUACGCUAAUACCGCAUACGACCUACGGGUGAAAGCAGGGGAUCUUCGGACCUUGCGCGAUUGAAUGAGCCGAUGUCGGAUUAGCUAGUUGGCGGGGUAAAGGCCCACCAAGGCGACGAUCCGUAGCUGGUCUGAGAGGAUGAUCAGCCACACUGGAACUGAGACACGGUCCAGACUCCUACGGGAGGCAGCAGUGGGGAAUAUUGGACAAUGGACGCAAGCCUGAUCCAGCCAUACCGCGUGGGUGAAGAAGGCCUUCGGGUUGUAAAGCCCUUUUGUUGGGAAAGAAAAGCAGCAGGUUAAUACCCCGCGGUUCUGACGGUACCCAAAGAAUAAGCACCGGCUAACUUCGUG